rfam:Ornithorhynchus anatinus chromosome 3, whole genome shotgun sequence.
AGCAGCGUGGCCUAGUGGAUAGGGCACAGGCCUGGGGUUCGAAAGGACCUGGGUUCUAAUCCCUGUUCUGCUG